AGUUCGAUCAUGGCUCAGAUUGAACGCUGGCGGGAUGCUUUACACAUGCAAGUCGAACGGCAGCACGGACUUCGGUCUGGUGGCGAGUGGCGAACGGGUGAGUAAUGUAUCGGAACGUGCCUAGUAAGUGGGGAUAACUACGCGAAAGCGUAGCUAAUACCGCAUACUUCGGGGGAAAGCGGGGACCUUCGCCUCGCACUAUUAGAGCGGCCGAUAUCGGAUUAGCUAGUUGUGGGGUAACGGCUCACUGGCUAGCGACGAUCCGUAGCUGGUUUGAGAGGACGAACAGCCACACCGGGACUGGAGACACGGCCCAGACUCCCACGGGAGGCAGCAGUGGGGAAUUUUGGACAAUGGGGGAAACCCUGAUCCAGCCAUCCCGCGUGUGCGAUGAAGGCCUUCGGGUUGUAAAGCAAUUUUUGGCAGGAAAGAAACGGCACGGGAUAAUACCCUGCGCAACUGACGGUACCUGCAGAAUAAGCACCGGUUAACUACGUGCCAGCAGCCGCGGUAAUACGUAGGGUGCGUUAAUCGGAAUUACUGGGCGUAAAGCGUGCGCAGGCGGUUCGGAAAGAAAGAUGUGAAAUCCCAGAGCUUAACUUUAACUGCAUUUUUAACUACCGAGCUUCAGAGUGUGUCAGAGGGAGGUGGAAUUCCUAGCAGUGAAAUUGCGACAUGCGGAGAACACCGAUGGCGAAGGCAGCCUCCUGGGAUAACACUGACGCUCAUGCACGAAAGCGUGGGGAGCAAACAGGAUUAGAUACCCUGGUAGUCCACGCCCUAAACGAUGUCAACUAAGUUGGGGCCUCUCUGGCCUUGGUAGCGCAGCUAACGCGUGAAGUUGACCGCCUGGGGAGUACGGUCGCAAGAUUAAAACUCAAAGGAAUUGACGGGGACCCGCACAAGCGGUGGAUGAUGUGGAUUAAUCUGAUGCAACGCGAAAACCUUUACCUACCCUUGACAUGUCUGGAAUCCCGAAGAGAUUUGGGAGUGCUCGCAAGAGAACCGAACACAGGUGCUGCAUGGCUGUCGUCAGCUCGUGUCGUGAGAUGUUGGGUUAAGUCCCGCAACGAGCGCAACCCUUGUCAUUAGUUGCUACGAAAGGGCACUCUAAUGAGACUGCCGGUGACAAACCGGAGGAAGGUGGGGAUGACGUCAAGUCCUCAUGGCCCUUAUGGGUAGGGCUUCACACGUCAUACAAUGGUCGGGACAGAGGGUCGCCAACCCGCGAGGGGAGCCAAUCCCAGAAACCCGAUCGUAGUCCGGAUCGCAGUCUGCAACUCGACUGCGUGAAGUCGGAAUCGCUAGUAAUCGCGGAUCAGCAUGUCGCGGUGAAUACGUUCCCGGGUCUUGUACACACCGCCCGUCACACCAUGGGAGUGGGUUUACCAGAAGUAGUUAGCCUAACCGUAAGGAGGGCGAUUACCACGGUAGGAUUCAUGACUGGGGUGAAGUCGGAAUAAGGUAG
rnacentral:rRNA from 1 species